ACAGCAGUCGCCGCGGUAAUACGGAGGGUGCAAGCGUUAAUCGGAAUUACUGGGCGUAAAGCGCACGCAGGCGGUCUGUCAAGUCAGAUGUGAAAUCCCCGGGCUUAACCUGGGAACUGCAUUUGAAACUGGCAGGCUAGAGUCUUGUAGAGGGGGGUAGAAUUCCAGGUGUAGCGGUGAAAUGCGUAGAGAUCUGGAGGAAUACCGGUGGCGAAGGCGGCCCCCUGGACAAAGACUGACGCUCAGGUGCGAAAGCGUGGGGAGCAAACAGGAUUAGAUACCCGCGUAGUCCCUGUCUCUUAUAC
rnacentral:rRNA from 1 species